rnacentral:misc_RNA from 1 species
GCAAACUUGGUCAUUUAGAGGAAGUAAAAGUCGUAACAAGGUUUCCGUAGGUGAACCUGCGGAAGGAUCAUUAUUGAAUAAAACUUGGUUGGGUUGCUGCUGGCUUUUCCGAAGCAGAGUGCACGCUCACCAUUUUUUGAACCCCCUGUGCAUCUUUUGUAGUCUGAAAUAAUUAAAGCCCUUUGGUCUUUGUUCGGAGAAUUGCUUUGUAGCUUUUCUUCAAUUUCAGGUCUAUGUACAAUUUAUAUACACUCAAUGAAUGCAAUAGAAUGCUUUAACCGAGGUCACAGUGUGCCUUUAAUCACAUAUACAACUUUCAACAACGGAUCUCUUGGCUCUCGCAUCGAUGAAGAACGCAGC